GGUUGUGCCACUGAUCAAUGCGAUAAAUCCAAAGUAAUGUAAGGUCUCGUACUAAACCAGUCACAGAAUAACUAAAUUCUCCACAAAACCAGUGGUGCUUGACAUUGCACUGUGGAUGCUUUGACAACAAAACAGGGCAGACAAGGGGGAUGGGACGUUGUUCGGCUAUUGAACCAGUUACUUGCAGAAUUAGAUGGUGUAGAUCCGCAACGGGGUAUAUUUGUUAUUGGGGCCA